UCUUUCUUUGCUGGCGACCGGCGCACGGGUGAGUAACACGUAUCCAACCUGCCCUUUACUCGGGGAUAGCCUUUCGAAAGAAAGAUUAAUACCCGAUGGUAUAAUGAUUCCGCAUGGUUUCAUUAUUAAAGGAUUCCGGUAAAGGAUGGGGAUGCGUUCCAUUAGGUUGUUGGUGAGGUAACGGCCCACCAAGCCUUCGAUGGAUAGGGGUUCUGAGAGGAAGGUCCCCCACAUUGGAACUGAGACACGGUCCAA
rnacentral:rRNA from 1 species